GGGAGCUGCUGUUGCCGCGGUGGGAAGACGCAGAGCUUUCAGGCCAGCCCCGCGCGGCUCACGGCUUUUGUGGCUGGUGGCUGGUGGCUGCUGGUUGGGAGGCCCCGGAAGGACUUCUACUCCUCCGUAGGCUGGAGGGCACUAGGAGGUCGCAGGUGCUGAGCUGCCGGGGCCUUUGGGCUGUGCUGAAGGGGAAAAGCGCAGCCACUGUCGGGAGUGUGUGCUGUGGAGGCAGUUGCCGCGGUGAUGUUCGCUCCGCCUGGCCCCUGCCGGGGAUUCAGCCAACCAACCCUCAACAGCCGGCGGCGGCUCAGUCUCUGGCCCGGCGCGGUGCUGAGCACCACUGAGCCCUCAUCUUAGGGCACCGAGGCCCGGACUCCUGCAGCCGCAUGUCCAGGCCCCUCCUGCCUUAGCACGGAGCUCCCUUGACUGCUCCAAACAGCCCAGACUGGCGCCUUUUUUGGAUAAAUUAAAACGGGGCCAAUCCGUUGCCAGCGAUUGGCUAACGAUGGGUACACGACCUAGUACGGGCCAGGGAGAAGUAAGCGAGGUCUGUUGAGGCAGAGUUUCGGGAAAGAUCUUCUAGUUAAAAGGGGAGUUGGGUGGGUGGGGGCUGUUUUCUUCCUGUUGUCCUUGCCCAGUGUAAGUUUCCUGGAGCUGCAGCAGCCUUUUUGUCACCAUGAGGGCAGCUGGUGGGAACCCUAGGAAAGCAGGAAAUCACCUAGAGCCGGAACAGCCUGAGCCUCUGAACCAACCCACAGCUGACUACCCGUCACUUUGUCGUGUCUCUGUGAUUUGAGUCCAUCAUUCUGCUGCAGUUGAAGUUCUACAGACUGUACACGAAGCAACGGUGUCAGCAUCUGCUUCCAGUGGGGCCUCAGGAAGCUUUCAAUCAUGGCAGAAGGCCAAGGGGCAGCGGGGUCUCACGUGGCAAGAGAGGGAGGAGGAGGUGCCAGCCUCUUUAAACAAUCAGCUCUUGCAUGAACUCUUAGAGCCAGAACUCACUCACUACCUGGAAGACGGCAUGGAGACAAUAAUGAGGGAUCCACCCCCAUGACCCAAACUCCUCCCACUAGGCCCACCUCCAGCACUGGUGGUCACAGUUCAACGUGAGAUUUGGAGGGGACAAACAUCCAAACCGUAUCACCCCUCAACCCCUCAACUACACCUGGUUUGCUCCUUGUUUUCUAGAUUUUGACUGAAAUGUCCCCUUCCCGGCAAAGCCGUGUGGACCACCCGGGCUAAAGCAGCCACCUGGUGCUGGCCUGUGUGGCCCAAUUCCAGUUCUCCAGGGUGCUCAUCACUCUGUGGCAGUUUGUCUUCUGGUUUGUGAGAGAAGAAUAAAUCUGAGGGACCCAAAAUCACUAAAGGGAAAAGUCAAGCUGGGAACUGCUUAGUGCCAACCUGCCUCCCCUUCUAUUCAAAGUCACCCCUCUGCUCAAUGAAAUAAAUGCAUAUCUGAUUGCCUCCUUUGGAGAGGCUCAUCACAAACUCAAAAGAAUGCAACCAUUUGCCUUUUAUCUACCUAUGACCUGGAAGCCACCUCCCGCUUCGAGUUGUCCCGCCUUUCCGGACUGAACCAAUGUACAUCUUACAUAUGUUGAUUGAUGUAUCUCCCUAAAAUAUAUAAAACCAAACUGUGCUCUGACCACCUUGGGCAUGUGUCAUCAGGACCUCCUGAGGCUGUGUCACGGGCGUGCAUCCUCAACCUUGGCAAAAAUAAACUUUCUAAAUUAACUGA
rnacentral:lncRNA from 1 species